GUUUACGGUAUAUAGUAUGACGAAUUGUAAUAUUCUAUCUCUAUUACACAUUAGCAUAAGGAUAUGUUCUUCCGAUGCGCGAAUCUGCUAAUAAAGGUUCAAGCUUGAGUCACGUUCAGUGGAAACGUGACCUAAUGUACGUAUGUUGACAAGUUAGUAAAUAGAUGCUGUAAAAUAUCUUGCACGCAAGUAUCUUAGUAUCGAGGUUACUGACAAAACGUAUACAUAGAGCAAAGAAGCAAAAUAACUACUGAGAUAAAAGUUUAUUUCUAUAAUAUCCAAUUCUUGGUAGUGGCAUCGAUGAAUUGUAUUAAAAGUAUUUAUACCUACAGUGACUCGCAAAGCCUUGUAAAGUUUUUAAAUUUUGACAUUUCAUCAGCACUAUAAUGAGACUUAACUGCUACGAUUCUAUUGGCAAGAUUUGAAUGCAAUCUGAAAAUUGUACACAAAAGUAGCAAGACAUUUACUUAUAUCUACUAAGAAAUAUUAGUAUACUAUGUGAAUAGUCACCUCUAGUAUACAAAAAGUAUGAAAGAUGAUCCCACUGAAUACCAAGACUUAUUAAUAUUGUGGAUGAUUGCUUGUUUAAGUAAUAAUAUAAUAAUUAAGUAAUAAUUUCUGUACAUUUUCAGAGUCCAUUAUUUAUAUAAAUAUGGCAAUCCAGUGUCUCUACGUGAAAUUUCAAAACGUUUCGUAUAAUAGAAAAGAUGUCGACAAGUGAAGAAAUACUUCUGUGAGCCACUGUAAAUGAUCGAUGUUUCAAAGGUAGACGAUAAGGUAGACUGUACGGCGACUUGGGACAGCGUGUCAAACUUGGUCGACUAAAUAACGAAAUACUAUUGUAGGCGUGAUAGAUUGACAGUCUGAUAGAAUGUUUAAAGCUGUUCGACACGAUUGUGAGAAAAGACGUCUGGCGUAGCCCGCGGACAGAGGCGCAGUGAAAGCCGGCGGUGACGUUUUGGCUUCACCAAGGUGAAGUAAGGAGUAACGUGAUGAGACUAUAGUCUCAUAGCUCUAAGUCCUAUGAUUAGUUAAUUUAUUUUUGGAGAAAACAAAUCAUUCGAAGACAAGGACGUAUACGUAUGCACAUGCUUUUGGAAAAAGGGUAAAAUUAAACUUUUCUAAACAAAUCAUACAUACUCCUCUUUUUUACAGAGAAAAUAAAAAGAGAAUAAAACAAUAUUUCAUUUUUAUAGCCUUCAGUAGUUCCAUAUCUAUGUUAUCGGGCAUAUUUCUUGAGAAUUUGA